rnacentral:rRNA from 1 species
GACGAACGCUGGCGGCGUGCUUAACACAUGCAAGUCGAAGAUAGUGGCGAACGGGUGAGUAAUACGUGAGUAACCUGCCCUCCUUUUUGGGCUAAGCCUUGGAAACGGGGUCUAAUACUAAAUAAAGGGGGAUGGGGUCGCGGCCUAUCAGCUUGUUGGUGGGGUUAUGGCCUACCAAGGCGGUGACGGGUUGCCGGGCUGAGAGGGUGAACUGGAACAGAGGCACGGGGGUGCCGCCCAGAGGACGACGGGAGGGGGCAGUGGGGGCUAUGGGAGAAAGGGCGAAAGACCGAUGCAGCGACGCCGAAGAGGGGAUGAAGGCUUUCGGGUUGUAAAACUCUUUCGCAAUGGAACGGGUAGGUGGAGAAGAAGCGCCGGCUAACUACGUGCCAGCAGCCGCGGUAAUUC